UUGAACGCUGGCGGCAUGCUUUACACAUGCAAGUCGAACGGUAACAGGGAGCUUGCUCCGCUGACGAGUGGCGAACGGGUGAGUAAUGCAUCGGAACGUGCCUAUUUGUGGGGGAUAACGUAGCGAAAGUUACGCUAAUACCGCAUACGCCCUGAGGGGGAAAGCAGGGGAUCGCAAGACCUUGCGCUUUAGGAGCGGCCGAUGUCGGAUUAGCUAGUUGGUGAGGUAAAGGCUCACCAAGGCGACGAUCCGUAGCGGGUCUGAGAGGAUGAUCCGCCACACUGGGACUGAGACACGGCCCAGACUCCUACGGGAGGCAGCAGUGGGGAAUUUUGGACAAUGGGCGCAAGCCUGAUCCAGCCAUGCCGCGUGAGUGAAGAAGGCCUUCGGGUUGUAAAGCUCUUUCGGCGGGGAAGAAAUCGCACUUUCUAAUACAGAGUGUGGAUGACGGUACCCGAAUAAGAAGCACCGGCUAACUACGU
rnacentral:rRNA from 1 species